GGGAAUGUAGCUCAGCAGUGCAGCAUCUGCCUGGCAAGCACGAGGCCCUGAGUUCGAUUCCCAGUACCA
rnacentral:tRNA from 1 species